GUUUCUGACCUACGGGCGUUGCUUAUACAACAGAGAAAAGCAACAACACAGCGUGUUUCUCUGCUCCAAGACAUCAGCGGGCCUUUCACACGUAUUCUUUUUUUAUUCCACUGUGGAUUGGACAGAUAAUUGCGUGCACCUGUGAGGUGGGGGCGUGCCCCCCGAGGUGGCCUAUUGGCUGCCAAACUGACUUAAGGGAGAUAGUGAGCGCAAAGACAGGAGAAGAGACACACGGAAAGCGAAGAGCAGGAAACCGAACGUGUGCAGACGAGCGCAUGUAUAGAAGGACCGGCCUGCCUGUGCGGCGUCACGAGACUUCCGGCGAUCGGCCAGCAUAACCCGGCGAUUCAGUUCUGACGGACAGAAUAGCAACAGUGGGAGGCGACGCGUGAAAUCCACAGUAGGGCAGAGGGGACGCCUCUGCCUGCAUCCGGCCGGGCUACGAGGGAAGCCGUGUGCGGGUGCGGAGAGUGGCUGGACUGCACGGUCAUGCGCCGCCAGGUGGGGAUAGGAGCCUCCUCCCUGGCCUUCUGCUGGCGAGAUUUUCCCAUCCCGGAAGAGGAGCUCCCCUUCUGCCUCUUUCAGCUAAGGAACAUUUGCCCGAGUGUGUGUGGUUGGACACUGGGAAUAGAGGACUCGGGGGGGGGACAUUUUAUCGUAUAAAAAGGACAUUCAUUUAGCUUUGAUUUUUUUUUUUAUUGUAUUUUAAUCUCUGCCGGCAGGGCUUUUUAGCGGGUUGGGAACAUUUAUUUUUUAUUGUAUAGUGGGGAUU
ensembl:lncRNA